AAUUCUGACCGCUUGAUGACGAAGGCUCGUGUCCAGACUACGUAUCCUCUCUUGAACAGAACUGAAAAAAAACAGUGGGGCCGCCGCUUCGCUAUCACAAAACGCCACCUGCCAGGAGCGCUGGCAUAGCCCCCAACCCCGGCCACUCAGCUUGGAGACACAGGUUCUGGAACCAGCCCUUCUCAACAGUGAAUCUACACAUCGAGCCAUCACGUGUUACGGAAUCCGUUGGCCCUUAGAGUCGUUAUCUAUAAAGUGAAGAUAAAAACUGAUACUUGGUUAGACUGCGUGGGACACACAAAGUGACAACGUUUGUUUAAGGCGCCAUCAUAUCCCCAGUGUAUUCUGAAGUCAAGAACUUAACAAGAAGGAUGACCAGGUUGCAGAUUUUUCCACCAGCUUACCAUACAGCUAAAGGGACAAGAAUAAUCGUCAGUGUGAUAUUGUUCAGUAACAUCAUUCCUUUUACAGAGAGGAAGGCAUAUCUCCAGGCCUUCGGGUAGAAAUCCUUCGUCUUCUUCCUCAGAUAAGAAAUGGAUCUUAGGUCACACAGCGGCCAAGUCAUCGCACAGAGACUCAAACUAAUCCCGGAAGACUAUGUGAAACCACCCCCAGUCCACAGAUCUUAUGACUCAUAUAUAUCUGGACACAGAAGGACUGUGACACAACUGUGACAUCUCUGUUUCCCUGGAAAUAAACUGAAACCAGAAGGCAUGGAGAAGAGCAUUAUGUCUUGGUUUUGUUAGCUCCUCCCAGAAAUACUCUGAAUGAAAAAGAAUUCUCUGCCAUAGGGAGAAUAGCAGAACAGUAGCAGAAAAUAUUUAUGAUCUAUUUUCUUUUUCCAAUUUCACCCAAAAAAUCAACCUGUGCAACACACAUACCCUGGUGUUGGUCCAUUUGUACCAACUUGUACUGGUCUGUGAGGCAAAUGCAGCAGAUUCACACAAACUUACAGACACAGAACGAACUGCAGGAA